rnacentral:rRNA from 1 species
UACGUAGGCAGCAAGCGUUGUUCGGAGUUACUGGGCGUAAAGGGUGCGUAGGCGGUCCUAUAAGUAUGGUGUGAAAUCUCCCGGCUUAACUGGGAGGGUGCGCUAUAGACUGUGGGACUAGAGUGUGGGAGAGGAAAGUGGAAUUCCUGGUGUAGCGGUGAAAUGCGUAGAUAUCAGGAGGAACACCGGUGGUGUAAAACGGCUUUC